AAAUCUUAUCAGUUGCUGCUCUUCCUCCUUCUCCAAAUAUGAUAAUGAAUCUGAAGUAGAGGUAGAGACUCAGAUUCAACAAAUGAUAAAGAGAAGAAAAUUUCGGUCCAUUUCCGAUAUUUACAGUAGAUCUAAGCUAGCUAAGCCUUUGAAACUUUGAAAUUAAGGUUGGUUAUGAUUAUCAUAUAUAAGUUUAGUUUGUUAAUUAAAGACUGAUUGAAUCGGUUCAAUCCAUAGAAUAAUUUAGAGGUUAAGUUGUUGAUGAACAAUAUUGAAUCAGUUGUUGGUUCAUAAAAUUAUAUAGAGAAAUGUUAGAUUUUAUGUUUGUGAUGGUGAUGAUUUGGUUUCUUUUUCUUUACUUGCUGAUCACACACCUUUUUUGUUUCUUCUAGUACAUCUUAUCAUUUUGGUUUGAAAAUUUUGUAAAUGGUUUAAGAAAAAGAUGGGAUUUUUUUAUUGAUGAAUGCUUGCGAAAAAGAUUUAAUUUUUAAUUGAUUAAUGUCCUGUGAAAAAAAAGGAUUUUUAGAAAUAUAGGAUUGAGAUUUAAUUUGGUAUGCAGACAUGAUGAUGAUGAUGAUGAUGAAGCCAUAUAACAAUACUAUUCAUCUACUUGGUCAUCUCAACAGUUCUUUACCUUUUCCCCACAAUUUAACUAUGUCAAACACUACUAUUGUGUUCGAUCUCAAUCGGUUAGUCUCUUUGAUCUUCGUAUCUUUACUUCUUAGUUCAAAUU
rnacentral:lncRNA from 1 species